rnacentral:lncRNA from 1 species
GACAGGCCGUGGGGAGUCCGAAACCAUUUAUACAAGGUGAGUCCCGAAAUUCUCAAAUCUUGGAUAAUAUCUUAAAUCUAUUUUAAUCUCAUUUACUUAGCAUCAUUAUAUAUUAGAGUUAGAGCAUUCUUAAGUUAGGAAGGCAUGAUUGAAACCUAGGAAGCUCUAGAUGUGAGAAAAUUUGAUGUGAAAGUUAUUUUAUUGAAUUUAACACAUCUUAAGAAAAGAAAAGUAUCAGAAAGUUAUAACUAUAUAUCAUUCGAAGAUGAUGCAAUCAUAACGUGAUUGAGAGACCCCUUAGAAAAAAAUUUUAUUCUCUGAGUCACUUUUUCUCUCUAUCUAACUGUUAUACAUAAAAAUUUUGAAAUUUUAGUUGAUAAAAAACUCAAAUAAAAGGAAAACAUGUACUUCUUUUAUAAAUGAAAGAAGAGAUCAAAGCAAAUUCAUGAUGAUUGAAUGUAUUGAUAAUCGUUUCUGUUAUUGUAGUUUAAUACGGAUAAAAUAUAAUAAUUUUAUAAUUUAUUUUAAAGUUACCCACUAUAUCAAGAUACAUUUUCUUUUAUAAUGGUUAUCUAUAUUUGUGUGUUCUUUCAUUUAGUUUCAACCGUUAUGAGUGGAUGAGAAAAAAUAAAAUAUCAAAUUAAUGGGUCAUCCGCUUAAUCACUAGAAUUAACGUUCUUUUAUUUGACCCACAAACUGAUUAUGAAAACUAUAGUAAUAUAUAUAUAUACAUUUUUAUAUUAAAAAUAUAUUUAUUGAUAAAUAAAUUUAAUAUGUGAUCCUGAUAAAAUCAACCAACAAGUCUAAAAUUAUUAUACCAUAAUACUGAAAUAAUUUAAAUUAUAAAUAUAAAUCACAGCAGUUACAUGACUUCAAUAUAAUAUUUUUUUUCUAUGUACCACACAUCAAUAACCUUUACUAAUUAUGUUCAUAAUGCCAAAACAAUCUCUAUAAUUUGUUUUAUCAAGACAUUCUCUGUUGAUUAAAUACUAAAUUAUGCAUUAAUGAUUAAAAAUAAGAAAUAACAGAAAUAAACUUUAAUGUGCAAAAUGUCAGUUAUUCAACUAUUGAAACAUCUAUCGUCAUAUUAUGGAUUACUUAAAAGACCUAACCUUACAAUAUGUUCUACACAUAUCGUUGGAGUUAGUCUUUUAGUUAAUGGAUCAACAAUCAUAAGUAUAGUACUAAUAUUUUCAAUAAACACUUGUUGUUUCUGGGUUCUUUCUCUAACAACUAAAUACUUUAAGUGCAAGUGUUUAGAUCCACUAGAAUAUUUGUCAUUCUUAAAGAAGAAAACACCUGCGAUAUUAUUACAAAGUAUUUUCAGUGACUUGGUAAUAUAGUCAACAACACCAAAUCUUGAGAUGAAAUUCUACAACCACAAGGUAUGACUCGAGGCUUCAAAACAUGCUAUAAACUCAGCCUCCAUUGUGAAUAAGGCAGUAAUGGACUACUUUACACUCUUCUACGAAAUUAUCCCAUUUACUAGCAUAAAGACAAAACCUGAAGCAGACCUUAAGCUAUCAUGACAAUCAUCAUAAUCUGAGUCUGAAUAUCCAAUCACCUCUAAUUGUUCUGAUAUUUUAUAUGUAAGCAUAUAAUCUUUUGUCCCUUGAAAAUACCUCAUAAUCUUCUUUGCAGUUUUCUAGUGUUUAAUUUCAAGAUCACUUUAAUAUCUUCCCAACAUACCAACAGUAUAUCCGAUAUCUGGUCUAGUACACGUUUGAGCGUACAUCAAACUUCCCACAACAGAUGCAUAAGAAUUUUUUAUCAUCUACUCCCUUUUUAAGUCAUUCAUUAGACACUGAGAUUUACUUAAUUUGUCACCCUUUUAUAAUGGGUGCAACAAAGGCUGAACAUAACUGCAUGUUAAAUCUCUCUAAAAUUUAAUUAAUAUAUCAUUUCUGAGACAAACCUAACAAUUUUCAAGAUAGAUCUCCGAAGAUUUUUAUUCCAAUAACAUAGAUUGCGUCACCUAUAUCUAAAAGUUUUUAGAGAAAUAUUUCUUAAUUUUGUAUAAUAAAGCAAGAUUACUACUAGCGUGCAGAAAAUCAUCUACAUAUAGUAUUAGAAAUAUAAACUUGCACUCACUAAUUUUUAGAUAUAUGUAGUGAUCGACAACAUUUUUCUUAAACCUAACAGAUGUAAUGGUAUUAUUAAACUUUAUGUACCAUUGUUUGGAAGCUUGUUUAAGAUCAUAAAUGAUUUUUUUUUUUAAUUUACAAACUAGGUGUUCUUUUUCUUUCUUUGUGAACCCUUCAGGUUAUUCCAUAUAGAUAUCUUUAUCUAAAUUCUCAUUCAAGAAAGUAGUUUUCACAUCCAUUUGAUGUAACUCUAAAUCAAAAUGUGCUAUAAUAUAGAAUUAAAAUUUAUAAACUAUGAACUAUUGAUAUCACUAUAGUUUUUCCUUUGAGUAAAACGUUAGCAUAUUUAGUUUUUCUAUCUACUCCAGAGUACUAUCAACGGUAGCUUUAGGAGGUUUUUCAAUUAUUAAAGCCAUAUGAAGAUAAAAAAAAAUCCAGUGAAAAUUGGACCCUUUCAUACCACCCCAUAAAAUUUGACCAAUCAAAAGUUGUCAUUUCAUAUGCGAAAGAAUACAAUGAAGUGGGAACUGUAAAAACAUAAUAAUGAUCACAUUAAGGCCUCAAGUAUAUCUAUAAUAUAGAAUUAAAAUUUAUAAACGAUGAACCAUUGAUAUCAUUAUAGUUUUUCAUCUGAGUAAAACAUUAGCAUAUCUAGUGUUCACUCAAAGGGGUUUAAAAUAUUUAAUAUUUUGCGCUAUUUACAUGCUACCUUUGGGCAUCUAUUUACAUAACAUAAAAUAAAUUAUUAGUUCAUAACUAGUAGAAACUGACUCUCCUCUGGAUUAGUCUCAAUCGCAUAAUUAUAAAAAUAUAUAUGUUAUUCCUUUAUAAGUCUCUCUUAAUUCUUUAAUGUAAUUUAAUUAACAUAAGACUCAUCAACCUGGGUUACUUUAGUAACUCAUCAUGUUAAUAAAUCUUUAAUCAUAAAACUACAAACUAUAAUUUGUAUAAAAUAUACAUAUAUUUACAUUAUGAAAUUAAUUGUUAAUUUAAAAUAUAUACAUAUUGUAACGGCUCUGGAAAUAAAAAUGAAAUGUAUGUAUUAAAAAGUUCUAAGUGCGGAAGCGAAAUAAAAAUUCUGAUUAACAUCCCUUACACAAUAACAAAAAACGUAUUCAACGUAUGAAAGAAUAAACUCAAUGUAAAUAUUAAAAAGUUUUAAGUGUGGAAGCGAAAUAAAAAUUCUGAUUAAUAUCCCUUACACAAUAACAAAAAACGUAUUCAACGUAUGAAAAAAUAAACUAACUAAGGUAAAUACUAUAAUGAAUGCUAUAAAUAAAACUAUGAAAUCCUUAGACGUCUACUCGCCGUCUUCCUGUGGAACGGGCUCGGAAACCAAAUCCUCCUGAUCUGAAAUGGUUAAAUAAGGAAUGAGCUACACUAGCCCAGUAAAGACAUCACACUAUCUCACUGUCACAGAAGUAAAGGUUGGUAGAAAACAAAAACGACAAAUGGAGCAUAAUUCAUGAUAAAUUAAUUUAUCAAUAAUAAAACCCUUUACUGUCCACUUACCUCGGUGAGUUUCAUGAAAACAACAUAAGAAAAUAAUAAUAUUAUAAUAUCAUGAAAUCAUACAUACUUUAUAACAUAACACAUAUCAUACCUUUGCAUUUCAUCAUCAGACAACAGAUUUUCUUCUUUUAUCAGCCUACUAGUAUCCAUGGGGAUCCAUAGGGGUCCCCGCUACACGUGAACCAUUCACAUUGAUAACUUGAUUCAGGGCCGUCCCCAUACUCCGUCCGGUAUGGGCGCAAAAAACCAUAAACCUCAAUACCCCGUUCGGUAUGAGGGUGAAACGGGCCGUCCCCAUACCCCGUCCGGUUGGACGUCAAAACACAUAAGGUCUCUAUACCCCGUCCGAUAUGAGAGACCACGUUCCCGGUAGGGUUCCCUACGGACCCAGUCCGUCCACCAUCUCACAGGAUAUCUAGUUAGGUUGCCGACAUUAUCUAUUUAUCAAUUCACAUAGUUUUUUCUAUUUUUUUAUUCUCAAUUAUCCAAUCAAACAUAAAUACGUAAACCAGUAAUGAACACCAAACAAAACAACACAACAUCAGGUUCACCACAAUUCAAACCAUAAUAAAUGAAAUCGGGAUUCAUGCAAACGAAACCAUAAAAUAAACACAUCAGGUACCAUACUGCAUUUAAAACUGUAAAAUAGAUCAAACAAUAACUGACCGACAAAUACACCAGAUUCAGGCUCCAUUAGCAACCUUAAGCAAUUAUACACAUCUAUUGAUUUAUGAAAUACCAUUUUAUCAUUUAUUGAGCUUUAAUACCGUGAUAGAAAAUAGAGUGAGAAAUCUUUACUUGUUUUGGAGUCUGAAAUUGACUUUACACUGCGCCUAUAGGCAGCCCCUAGAUUUCCUAAAUUUUUUUUUGAAAACUGAAACACACUUCCAGUACCUACACGUGUCCUGAAAAAACUCAAAAUCAGACCCAUGGCUUACUCGGCCAAUUUUAAAAUUCCGAUUAAACAACCCUAGGGCCCUCGGUGGGCAAAAAAAUCACGAAAAAUCUAGACUUACCGGCGGCGGAGCUCUCAGGUGCGGCGGCUUCUCCGGCGCUAGUCACAAUUUAAUGUUUUGCUCCAGUUAACCUAUAGAUAAAAGGACGGUGAUCACAGUGGUGUAAAAAUUGUAUCGAACGAGAAUCGGGAAGGGCCUCAUUGAAGGUAAAAAUUGAGGGAAGCUGCGACAGUGCCGCUGGACUUCGGCAAUGUUUUUCAGCCGAUUGGCCAGUGAUUUGGCUCUGAUUUGGCCAUAGGUAGAUUUAGCAUCGAAAAACGAGCAAAUGAGAGAAAAUUUACCUCGUUUGGCAGUCGAAAAAUCCUCCGGUGCGGCGGCGGCCGGCUCCUCCGAUGACUGGGUCUACUUCUCCGGCGAGGGUACUAGCGGCUAGGGUUUGGGGUUGGGUGUGGGUGAGGUUAUUUAUAACAUUCCCCUUUUAAUCUUAGCCGUCCAUCACGAUUUAAUCUGGACCGUCCGAUCGCGAUUAAAAUAGAAAUAAAUCUGGACCGUCCGUGCGUGAUUCAAUCUGGGCCGUCCGCACGCGUGAGAUCUGGACAGUUCGUGUGCGUGAGAUCUGAGCCGUCUGCAGGCGUGAGAUCUGGACCGUUCGAUCGCGUGCACGCGGAUCGCCCACGUGGCUCCGUCCCGCGUGGCCUCCGCAUCAGUGUCCUUGCCACGCGGCUUGUCCUGGUUGGUCGGGGCUGCUGACGUGGCACAACUUUUCUAAAUUGUGUUUUAACCUCCGGUUUUCGAUUUUCCUUUCAAAAAUACCCCUAGAAUCCAAAUUUUCACUCAUUUUUCACAAAAUCAUUUUCAAUUAAUUUCCAAAAAUAAUUUUACCCAUUUUUAUCAUUAUUAUUAUUUUUUAUUCCCAUUAAAAAAAAUAAAUUAAAUUAUAACCCUUUUAAUUAAUUAAUUAUUAAUAUAAAAAUAAUAGCAAAAAAAUCAAAUACAAUUCCAAAAAAUAAAAUAAAGGUCUUUUUGGAGUGUUACACAUAUAUAUAAAAUAUUAGUGUAAUAAUAUAUACAUAUAUAUAAACUGUUUGUAUAAUAAUAUGUACAUAUAUAUAAACUGUAUAAAUAUAUAAAUUGUUAGUAUAGUAUUAUAUAUAUAGAGUAUUAGUGUCCUCUAUAUAUAUAUAAUAUUAGUGUAAUAAUAUAUAUAAACUGUUAUUAUAAUAAUAUAUACAUAUAUAAACUGUUAGUAUAAUAAUAUAUACAUAUAUAAACUAUUAGUAUAAUAUUAUAUAUAUGUAUAAAUUGUUAGUAUAAUAAUAUAUACAUAUAUAAACUGUUAGUAUAAUAUUAUAUAUAUAUAUAUAUAUAUAAACUGUUAGUGUAAUAAUAUAGAUAUAUAAAAUAUUAGUGUACUAUAUAUAUAUAAACUGUUAUUAUAAUAAUAUAUACAUAUAUAAACUGUUAAUAUAAUAUUAUAUAUAUGUAUAAACUGUUAGUAUAAUAAUAUAUACAUAUAUAAGCUAUUAGUAUAAUAAUAUAUACAUAUAUAAACUAUUAGUGUAAUAAUAUAGAUAUAUAAACUAUUAGUGUAGUAAUAUAUAUAUAUAUAAUGUUAAUGUAAUAAUAUAUACAUAUAUAUAAACUGUUAAUGAAUUAAUAUAUAUAUAUAUAUAUAUAUAAACUGUUAGUAUAAUAAUAUAUAUAAACUAUUAGUAUAAUAUAUAAAUUAUUAAUAAUAUAUAAAGUAUUAGUAGAAUUCUAAUAUAUGACCUUGCUCUGAUACUAAAUACAAGAAAGUUUGAUAUAAAAAUUAUUUUAUUGAAUUCAAUACAUUUUAAGAAAAGAAAAGCAUUGAAAAGUUAGAAUUACAUUAUGACAUUUCAAAUAUUAAAUGUAGCAUAAGGGAAGGGAGAUACAGAAACAAAUUAGUUGUGUAUUGAAAUAAAUUAAAUGCAGUGGAAUAAAUUUUUACAAAUCUCUUACAAAAUAAAAUUUGAGUUCUAAAUUUUACAUUAGUAAGGCCAAAAGUUUGGUUAAAAUAAUAUACAAUCCUCUUUUACAUAUUGGACUCAUAAAAGUGCGGAACAACAACAUGCACUCGUAUCAUCUCAGUGAUCCACAGGAUCCUCAAGAGUUUCGAUUAGCAAAUCGACGAACGGGUUAUCACUAUCAUCCUCAUAUGGGAGAUGGUAUAGAAAUGAGAGAGUUUCAUAAACUUAGUAAGGAAAAUAGCAUUUAAACAAUAUUACUAAGAUUUUAAAGGUGCUUAAACUUUAAAGAAAUAUAUUGUUAAUCAUUUACUAUUGAAGGUUGCAUGUGAGCCAAACUUAAUGAUAUAGAAAACAUUUUUGUUUUGUUUAUAAAUCGUUAACAUCAAGACAUUCAUAUCAACCAUGCAUAAAAUAGAGAAAAUCAAACAAAUAUGAAUCAUGCUAUGACUUCUUGCUUCAUCUUUUAUCUAUUCUUUGUGCGAAGCCAUUCUGAUCUAUAUCUAUUGAGGACAAUACAUAUUUCUGACUACCACUAUGGAAUGACAAAGUUAUUUUCAUCUCAGCAUAUUUAUGGCUUGUUAAACCACAUCAUAUUUACGGCUUGCCAAAUUAUAACAUAUUUACGGCUUGCCAAAUUAUAACACGUUUACGGCUUGUUAAACCAUAACACGCUCUAUGACCAUGGUCGUACUAAUUACAAUGGUUUAACAUGUAAACUAUAACCACAGCCGUACGUAGCCACAGUGGCCCUACAAAUCAUAUCGUGUAACUAUUCUCGUUAGAGGAUACACUGUAUUCCACCGGUUCUCUCAUGUCUUUUCAGACCAGAUGGAGGAGAAACAAAACCUCUCAGAGAUAAUAGCAUAUAUAUCAUUGUAAAUGCCAAGCAUAAAUAUUACGAUGUUAGGCCUACAUGUCAAUUUUCAUAAAAUACUCAUGUAUCUUAAUGCAAAAAUUAUGAUAUCUCAUGUAUUACUAAUAUUUUAUCAUAGCUAUAUCAUUUAACAAUUUAAUUUUCAAACUUAUAAAUUUACUAAAAUAUGCAAUUACUAUUUCACAUCAGUCAUGUAAUAUUUUAAAUUAAAAUUUUUAGAAAUGCUCCUCAGAAUAUACGAGAAAAUAUCAAGAUUUCUCUUACUAAAAGUUUGAAGAGUUCCUACAUUCUUCUUUUUUUCUUUUCCUUCUUUCUCUAGCUCUCUUUCUCUCUCUCUCUCUCUCGAGGAAGCUCUUAAAGAAGUAAAAUGAAUAGGAAGUGUAAAGAAAUGGUGGGGAGAGGGCUCAUUUUUUAGAGAAAAUGGGCCAUCGGGUUUUUGCUAAGUGGCAAGAAUCUGUGAGGAAAGAGGAAGGAAAAAUUUAUUAACGCGACACGACGACUAACAUACGUGAUUGACAGACAACCGAUGAGACGAUGAUGAUGCGAUAACUCGACACAAAGAUCGAGGGCACGUCGGCCAAGGGGCGACACAUGCCUCCUAAAGGGCAACGACGUGCCGGCCAAUGACAACGCGCGCCUCCCAAAGGGCAGCACGCUUUGCUUGAGGAUGGCACGCACUACUGAAGGGGUGGCGCCUGUUGCUCGAGGAUGGUACAGAUUCUCGAAGUCCUGUUGCGUGUGUGGGCAGGCCCGCGCACAAGUGUGUGCAGAGCUGUGUGCCAUAUUCGCAUGUUGUGACUGUGUGCCUCGACUGACCGUGCGUGCACGCAUGUGUUCGGCACAUAGGGGCUCGUACGAGUAGGGAUUUUUCCCACAGUUCUCGCAAAAAUUUCUCUUGUGUUUUUUCUCAAUUUUUCUUGAAAAUUUAAUCUUAGUUAUAAAAUUACAUAAAUAAAAUAAUUUUAAGUAAAUCAUAAAAAUAUGUGGAAAUUAAAACAUCAAAUUAAAUAGUUAAUAGUCUUAGGGCACAAAUAAAUAGGAGUUUUACACAUCCACAUUUAAGUAUGAAGGUACUGGUUGUUACAUACAUACCAUUUGAAGAUGAUGCUGCUAUAAUGUGAUUAAGAGAUCCCUUUAAAAAAUUCUUAAUUCUCUGAUUCACUUCUUCUCUCUAUCUAACUAUUAUGCACAAGAAUUUUAAAACUUUAGUUGAUGAAAUACUCAAAUAAAAGGGGAACAUGUGCUCAUUUUAUAGAUGAGAGAAGAUACCAAAAUACAUUCAUAAUAAUUGAAUGUGUUGAUAAUUAUUUCUAUUAUUGUUGUUUAAUACCCAUAAAAUACAAUAAUUUUAUAAUUUAUUUUAAGGUUACCUACUCUAUUAAAGUACAUUUUCCUUUAUAAUAGUUAUAUAUUAUUUUGGGUGUCUUUUUAUUUGGCUUUAACCAUUAUGAUUGGAUGAGAAAAAAUAAAGCAUCAGGUUAGUGGGUCAUCCACUUAAUUACUGAAAUUAACAUUGAAUACAUUCGUUAAUUCAAAUGGGAUACCUUUUCUUCUUUUAAGACAAAAUGCGUGUGGGCAUUUUGUGAGGCAAAACACGAGAGGAUUUGGUGAGUGCCCUUAGGAUUUUGUGGAUUUUUGGCUAAGUCGGUCUUGAAAGUGGGGCUUGAUGCAAGUGUUUAUGGGAGUUGCUAGGAACGAAGCCUGGACACUGUCCAGAUAGUGCAAACCCUCAGGAUAGGGUUCCAGCAUGUUCUUGAUGUGUUAAUUUUUUUAUUUACACCUUGUUUGAUUUUUCUUACAUGUUUAAAUCAUUUAUUGCACGUGAUUUAAAUUUUGCUUGCAUUUCCUAUUACAUGAAGCGCAUGGAAAAUUAAUAUGAUGAUAAAUGAUAAUACGGUAAUAAAUUAAGUGGGAGUAAAUAAGGUUCUUGGAUAAUUUUAAAAGGACAUAUGAAGUUCUAGGCAUUGAGAGAAUUAAAAACAAGUAAGCAAACUGGAAGGGCAGGGAAAUAGUAAAUAUAGUUCAAACUUGAGAAAGUUAGGAAGAAUUGAUGUACAUAAAUGAUAAAACAAAAUGAGAUGACCUCUAGUUAGGGAGAGGAAAAUAAAAUAAGAGAAAAUUAAUGAAAUUGAAUAAAUGGAAUAGGGUAAUUUAAAUUGUGUGAUCGAAUUAUAAAAUAAACAAUAUUCGCCAGAUAAAAAUAAUGAUAGGUAUGUUUAGGAUCAUUGAUAAAUAAAUAAACAAAAAUUAAAUGAACGAUAUAAGUAUAAAAAAUGGAGAUUAAUAGGAUCACUAAUCUUAAAAUAAAUUACCUUGGCAAAAAGUUACGAUGUAAAAUCCACUAUAAGAGUUGUUUGAAAAUUAGUAGGAAAAUAAGAUAAUAAAUUUGAUUUAUUGUAAUUAGAAAUAAAAUGUAAAGUUAGGAAGAAUAAUGAGAGAGGAUACAAAAUUAACCAAAUAAGAAUAACUGGUAAUUAAAAGUACGAUACAAUGUGGAGUUGGGAUAUAUAUCUAUACAUAUAUAUAAGAUUAAGGCAAAAAUAUGAGAAAGAGUAAAACCAUAAAAUAAUCAUAGAUAAAAGAAAUAAGUAGUCAUCAUAAGGAUAAAAGAACAAUAAGAUGCGAGGUUAAGGGAUAAUUUAGUAAAAAAGGUGAGUUAAAAGAAGACAAUAAUAAAAAAAAAAAUAUGUAAGACAAAGAAAAUUUAAAAGUAUUAAGAAAACACCAAACACAACUCAUCUAGUCAUGAGUCGAUGAGAGGGGGAUGGGUGUGUCGCUAAAAUUCGGCAGGUUGGUGAAACCCACUCAUAGAUGGAUGAUUUCGGACCUACUCUAGAUGUGGAUAAGUAUGCUUGCUUCCAUCUCGGUUGGGAUCAUCUACCGAAGUACUGUUUGUGACAUGAUAUAUUAUAUUUUAAUCAUAUUUUUAAUAUUCUUUUUACUUAGAUUUAGAAGAAUUUUUGAAUAAUUUUGAGUUAAAAAUAAAUUAAUAAGUAAAAUUUUAAUAUAGGGUACAUUGGUGAAGAAAACAGGAAAAAAAGCUGAAAAGUGAAGAAGAAAAGAGGAAGUUUUUGCCCAAGGUCCAGAUCGGCAACAAGCCUAACCCAGCACCAACACUCAAAAUGAAGCCAUUUUAAGAGCUAAAAACCAUAAGCCAACAAUAAUCAAAAGUACAUCGUUU